rnacentral:rRNA from 1 species
UGACCAGACUCCUACGGGAGGCAGCAGUGAGGAAUAUUGGUCAAUGGCCGUAAGGCUGAACCAGCCAAGCCGCGUGAGGGAGGAAGGUACAGAGUAUCGUAAACCUCUUUUGUCAGGGAACAAAGGCGGGGACGUGUCCCCGGAUGAGUGUACCUGAAGAAAAAGCACCGGCAAACUUCGUGCCAGCAGCCGCGGUAAUACGAAGGGUGCGAGCGUUGUUCGGAAUUACUGGGCGUAAAGGGAGUGUAGGCGGAUAUGUAAGAUAGCGGUGAAAUGCCGGGGCUCAACCCCGGAACUGCCAUUAUGACUAUGUAUCUAGAGUAAUGGAGAGGAUAGCGGAAUACCCAGUGUAGAGGUGAAAUUCGUAGAUAUUGGGUAGAACACCGGUGGCGAAGGCGGCUAUCUGGCCAUUUACUGACGCUGAGGCUCGAAAGCAUGGGGAUCAAACAGGAUUAGAUACCCCAGUA